rnacentral:tRNA from 1 species
CGGACCGUGGCUCAAUGGAAGAGUAUCUGCCAGCAAGCAGAGGGUGGGAGUUCGAUUCUCCCCGGUUUGU